rnacentral:lncRNA from 1 species
GUCAUGCAUAAAAUAGAUCCACCAAGAUAAUUAUAUAAUAGUCUUAAAUUCUUCACAAAUCAAUAAAACAUUAAUUUAUACUUCACUAUACAGCACUUCAAGGUUUUUCUUUAUAUAUUAAUGUUUAUAUUUCACAGACAAUUUUACAAAAAGAUUAUCAUUUUUUUCAUAAAAUAGGAAAAGAAAGCCACAGUACUAAAAAAAAAA